CAAGGUUUGCAAUUUUUUUCCUGGUGCACAUGUGAUGAGAUUUUAGGUAUUAUAUGCAAAUGUUUUACUUAAAGAGCACUGAAAUUCUUCUGGCAAUAUGGGAAAUCAUUUUCAGGAUCUUGGGAGUUACUACUUUCUUAAUCUUUCUUACAGCAUUCACUGACAGCAGCUUUUCUUUCAAAACAAAACAAAAAAGCACGUUCAGAAGCUAGUCUGUGUUCUGUCACUAACAUUUAAACUUUGCAGACUCCAGUGAAAAGCACAUGAGGUCAUGUAUGGUUACACAAAUUUAGCAGUAUUGCGAUUACCUCUGACAAUAACACCCUCAGACAGAGGCCGAGAGAAUCAGGUUUUGAGAACUAGAUAACCUUGCUGUUCACAUUUCACCUCAGUUUUAAACUCUGAGUCAGGCCUUGGUUCUCAAGGACUCACUGUUGGUAGGUAGGUAAUGUCUUAUAUUAAGACCAAAUACGGCAUGAUGUGAUUCUUUUCCAGUACCGUUUUUAGGUACCACUUCAUGAUGUUUAGGAACUGGUAUUGGAAAAUGCAGUGAAUUGGAGAAGCAGAACCUUUUGUUUUUUAAAUGGAAAAGACUUCGGGUACUGUGUUACAGCUUAUAGCGUGAUGUUCUCCAUGGAGCAGGGGAUGAGUAUCUGGCCUGCAUAUGGCAGUUAAAGUGUAACUUCUGCUGCAGACCACACAGAAUAACUUGCAUACCAAGUCUGUGUGUUAUCAAGAGUACAGCUUCUACUUCACUUGUUUGAUCUUAGCAACCAUGCCAACUUAUGCAACCAAAAAGCAUAUUUUAAGUGAAGUUUGUUAGUCAACAAAAGUGUUAUUUCAGUCUUGGGGCCUCCCCCUCUGGCUUUCUUUACCUGAAGGUGAUUUUAGGAGUAAAAAAAAAAAAUAAUCUGCUCAUUUCAGAUUCUUUACCUCUGAGGCGACACGGGAAGGAAAAAGACUCUAUCCUUCAGCCAGACUCUAUCCUUCAGCCGUGUGCAGCUGAGCUCACUCCCUAACCCUAUAUCCUAAGAAUCGGUACUAAUGGAAAGUACUAUCCUUGAAAAAAGAAGUCGAAUGUCCUUUACAUGAAAAAGCACCAAGUAAGUCCAAUCUACAUCUCAGAUUAAAACAGUUAAACACAUUCAGGACUUAACCACUUUUAAGAAUAGUACUACCAGUAGAAUUGAAAAUGAGUUAUUUUAAUCUUCUCAAGAUAAACCCAUUUGCAGCCUCCUGGCCACAUGUACUUAGAUGUUUGGAGUAGUCCGUGAAUCAUUUCAUUUUCAUCCUAAAAUACAGACUUUGCUCUCUAGAUGAAAUAAAAUCAUGUUUAUCAAUCUGAAAGUUUAUAUCCAGUAAGUAGACUACUUAUAGUAUUGAUAUACUGCAGUCAUUCUAAGGGCUUGGAAUAGGAUUUUCCAAGUAUUAAGUACUGUCCAGUCUAAAAUAUGGAGUGUCAAUAUUUGCAUAUCCUUGUCUCCCACAGAGUGGGGGAAGGAAUUAGGAAUACAACCUGUUUCUAAUAUGCUGACGUCUAAGCCUUAAAACUGCCAACUGGCUUGAAGAUUCAAUUAGUAACCUGAUUUCUUCCACACUCACUUCUUGAUUUUAAGAUUCAUUUCCCCAAAGCAAGAGUUAGUCAACAGAAACAUGAAAAUAAGUUAAAAUGUUCUUAGUUGUUACUCUAUUUUUAUUGCCUAUGGAAUAUGUUAAUUUCUAAAAGACACAAGAAAAGUACCAAACUCUUACAUUCUAGUGAAUUGAUAAUAAGGUAAGAAAAAAAAAAGACACGAUUUACCCCACAGAAUUGAUUUUAAAUCUGGUUAUAAUUCAAAAGAUAAAAAUCAUGAAAUGAUUUGAAAUCUAGUUUUUAAAAAAAGUUAAUGCAAGAGAAAUUUUAUGCUUAAGCCAUUGUGAUAAUACAUGCAAAGUUUAAAUGAAUGACAGAAAUCUUGAUUCUAGACUACAUGUUGUGCUGUUUUGAGUACACUUUUAUUUCAGAAAGUGAUAUUUAGUAUUUUCUAUACACUCUGAAAUCAUGAGCAUUUCACUUUUUCUAAGUCAAUUAUUUCAUAAGGAUUUUAUUAAUAGAUAUUGGUAAAUAGAACUUUGGAGAUCUUAAUUCCGUAUUCUUACUAUACCCGAGGCUUUUGUAAGCUCUAGUUUUAUGUACAACCUUGUACAGUUUUUUGACAUACAAUUCAGAAUCUUGUUUAUUCUCUUGGACUUUGUUCUGGCCAAUACAUUUUUUUUAGAUCUCUUAAGAAAAACUGUGAUUGGUUUAGUGGGUAUUUUUCUAAGUAAAUGAAAACUUGUAUAAUGGUAUUUUAGAGAAUGCCAGAUAAGUGCAUGUUUCAAUUUAAUGUUUUUCUCAUCACUUGUAUGUUUAUACACAGCAUGGGACUUUCAAUAAAAUCAUCCUGGAAACUCAAGGAUUGUUUUCCUUCUAAAAAUAUAAAUGGUGUGACUUUUUUCUUAUCCCUCUUAUUAUAUACUUGUUCUAGUAAACUAAUUUAUCACUCUCACCCUUGUCUUCUUCCACAGUUUUCAGGUUCUGUAUUAAGUUUAUCACUCUAUUUUGGUGUAUCUUAAUUCACUUAUUGGCUUCCUUAUAUUUUGGCAUCACCCAAGGCAACAAGUGAGUUUCACAGCUGACUUCAUCUACCAC
rnacentral:lncRNA from 1 species